UGUUUCAGACCUUCCCUAAACAUGCAGACAUUUCUCUGAGCCCUACAGAAUAAAUGUUCUCCAGGAUCCAGGUAUUAUUAUCCUGCUGGAUUCUGGGACACUAUCUCUGCAGAGUUCAGAAAAAACCUCAGUCCAAGCUAACAAAGUUAGAACCAAAUCUUAAGCUAACUGUACAGAAAACGAGGAAGACUGGCAGACAUUGAGUUUUAUUAAUGCUUGUUAUAAAAACAGUUUGUUUUUCUGUAUCUGUUUUAAAGUUUUUAUCUCCUUUGCUGCUCGAUAAGAACGAACACCUCACCGAGAGUUUCAGCUUAGUUCAUGUCCUGAGUUUAAAAAAACUGAACUUUGUUCAAAAAGUAUAAAACUACAACCAGCUGAACAAUUAAUUAAACAUAUGGCAAACUUGUGUUUCAGAUGUCAGAAACUGUUCCUGUAAAUAUUUUCACUUUGAGUUCUUCUAAUGUCGUUUAGUAAAGACAGCUGAAAAACAUUAAAGGUCAAUUAUUCAAGAGUUCAAAGGGUUAAGUCUGGAAACUCAAAGAUAAUUUAAAUAUCUUGUAUGCAACUAUGGACAUUCAUGUUUUGUACAGCUUCAAUAAAAGCGAUGAAAUCUUC